GAGACACUUCUAGGGGGGUCCGGGGGCAUGCCCCCCCGGAAAAUUUUUGAAAUCUAGAGUCCCUGAAAUACGAUUUCCUGCAUUUUCAGGGUGAGAUUAUUCAGAAUUCCGAAAAUUAUAAAGUAAACAAAACACACGAUUUUUUCAUGACUAUACGUAUAUAUAAUACCUACAAGUGCAGUAUUACAUCAUAGUCAAUAGAAUAAGGUUAGGGAACUCGAUGCAGACAUACAGUAAAAGACCUCAUUAUCUAUGUUUUUGUCUGGUUUAUGCAAGGAACGAUGGGUUCAUCGUCAUGUGUGUAUUAUUAGUUACCAAUAGCAGUGUGCUGGUUUAAUUACCCGGUCGUAAUAUUACACAAUGGCUAAACAAAAACAUAAUAACUAUUGGUUACUCUAGCGAAAUAAAAAUACAAUACACACAUGACGAUGAACCGACCAUUUUUUUUGCAUAAACCAAGACAAAAACAUAGAUAUGUCUAUUACGUCUGCAUCGAGUUCCCUAACCUUCUUAUUCUAUUGACUAUGAUUACAUUGAUUGACAGCUGCCUAAAGGAAUUGCUACUUCCAGGAAAAUUGAAGCCAACAUAAUUUUAUAUUUAAAUACAAAUGGAAAUAACUGUUAGGUAGAAUAAUAAUGGCUAUAUGUUAUCGUAGAUCUCCUUGAAUGACAAGCUUAUGAGGUUUUGCAAGCUUAAAUAUUUCCACUAAUUUGCUAAGUUCGAUAUUGUUGGCUAGAUCUCGUUCGUUGCUAAUCUGGACAAGGUCCUCGAGUCUAUCAGGUGACAUAACAACUCGCAAAUCAUUGUUUAUUAUUUUGACCUUGCUGUGUGUGCGCUCACAUGAUGCCACUGUCACAGGCAAGGCGAGUCCGACCUCAAACAAGUCGGGAUAAAGGUGGUGCAGAUCAUAUUUGCUGAAAACUUCGAGCAAGGAGGGCAAGCAAAUCCAAGGUGGAAACUUUCUUUUGGACCCUAUCUCUAGACUCUUUCCUUUCCUUCUCUUCGCUGCUAUGAUGCUCGUAUGUAAUCUUCCAGUUGUUACAUUACGUAUGUAAUCUUCCAUAUUCCAGUUAUAUGUACUCUUCGUACCAUUUCUUUUGGAAUGUAAACUUUCUCAUCGAUAUUUCCGAUGUUGAAAAAUCUAAGAUAGGUCUAACCGUCAAGAUUCGAAAACGAAGGUUCUAUUUGCCUCCCUCACACACAAUUUCACUUGAUGGAUCUCUUCCUUCAAACAUUUUUCUCUUUCAGUUGUGUAGUGAUGCAUUCCAAGAAGCUAAUGACCAUAUGUUGCGCGAACGGUGCAUUAAUUAAUUAACAUAUCUCCCUCACAUCUUAGCAGCAGGUCCAAACUUCCGCAUCACACAUUACCCCUUGCACUUAAUUUGGGUAAUAUGUUCACCCAUUAUGAUGGGUUUCCUUCGGCGGUCGUAAUCAGUGCCUGCAAUAUGCUAAUGGUAAAUACCGCAUAUAUGAAACGGUCUUUUGUCAAAAGUAAAGCGAAGAUCUUUUAAUACCGGUUUUUAUUCACACAAUAAAGACUGAAUUUAUUAAGUUAGAUCUAAAUAACUGGACUGAUGUCACAAACGUACCCCCCCCCCCCAAUUUUCUCACCGGAUUUGGACAAAUUAGAAAAUUGACCUUGAAGAGAACUGGGGGGGACGUGUCCUCCCCAGUCCUCCCCGUGGCGCCGCCACUGCUU